UACGAAGGGGGCGAGCGUUGCUCGGAAUGACUGGGCGUAAAGGGCGCGUAGGCGGAUGGCACAGUCAGAUGUGAAAUUCCCGGGCUUAACCUGGGGGCUGCAUUUGAUACGUGUUGUCUAGAGUGAGGAAGAGGGUUGUGGAAUUCCGGGUGUAGCGGUGGAAUGCGUAGAGAUCCGGAAGAACACCGGUGGCGAAGGCGGUUAGCUGGGCAGUUGCUGACACUGAGGCGCGACAGCGUGGGGAGCAACAGGG
rnacentral:rRNA from 1 species